UACGGAAGGCAGCAGUGGGGAAUUUUGCGCAAUGGGGAAACCCUGACGCAGCAACGCCGCGUGGAGGAUGAAAUCCCUUGGGAUGUAAACUCCUUUCGAUCGGGAAGAUAAUGACGGUACCGAGAGAAGAAGCCCCGGCUAACUUCGUGCCAGCAGCCGCGGUAAUACGAGGGGGCAAGCGUUGUUCGGAAUUAUUGGGCGUAAAGGGUGCGUAGGCGGUUUGAUAAGUUUGGUGUGAAAUCUCUGGGCUCAACCCCAGAGUCUGCAUCGAAAACUGUCGGGCUUGAGUAUGGGAGAGGUGAGUGGAAUUUUCCGGUGUAGCGGUGAAAUGCGUAGAUAUCGGAAGGAACACCUGUGGCGAAAGCGGCUCACUGGACCAUAACUGACGCUGAUGCACGAAAGCUAGGGGAGCAAACAGGGAUUAGAUACCC
rnacentral:rRNA from 1 species